CAGAUGAGGAGCUUGCUCCUCUGACGUUAGCGGCGGACGGGUGAGUAACACGUGGAUAACCUACCUAUAAGACUGGGAUAACUUCGGGAAACCGGAGCUAAUACCGGAUAAUAUAUUGAACCGCAUGGUUCAAUAGUGAAAGACGGUUUUGCUGUCACUUAUAGAUGGAUCCGCGCCGCAUUAGCUAGUUGGUAAGGUAACGGCUUACCAAGGCAACGAUGCGUAGCCGACCUGAGAGGGUGAUCGGCCACACUGGAACUGAGACACGGUCCAGACUCCUACGGGAGGCAGCAGUAGGGAAUCUUCCGCAAUGGGCGAAAGCCUGACGGAGCAACGCCGCGUGAGUGAUGAAGGUCUUCGGAUCGUAAAACUCUGUUAUUAGGGAA
rnacentral:rRNA from 1 species